GUUGUCCCCAUAUGAGCUAUCCACGAAGACGUCGCUGUUGGCUCUCGGCCCGCGCUGUUGCUAUUUUCCAUAGAUUUUGCUCGGUCAUGUACCAGCGAAGC
rnacentral:lncRNA from 1 species